rnacentral:rRNA from 1 species
CCAAUAGCGUAUAUUAAAGUUGUUGCAGUUAAAAAGCUCGUAGUUGAAUUUCGGGGUUCUACCGUUGGUCGGGCAAUAGUCUGUACUGGCGUGUAGGAUUUCUACCUUCUGGGGAACCAUCAUGUUAUUUAUUUAGCGUGGUGGGAAACCAGGACCUUUACCUUGAAAAAAUUAGAGUGUUCAAAGCAGGCUUACGUCUGAAUACAUUAGCAUGGAAUAAUAAAAUAGGGCGGUGGUCCUGUUUUGUUGGUUUCUGAAUCACCGUAAUGAUUAAUAGGGAUAGUUGGGGGCAUUAGUAUUCAAUUGUCAGAGGUGAAAUUCUUGGAUUUAUUGAAGACUAACUUCUGCGAAAGCAUUUGCCAAGGAUGUUUUCAUUAAUCAAGAACGAAAGUUAGGGGAUCGAAGACGAUCAGAUACCGUCGUAGUCUUAACCAUAAACUAUGCCGACUAGGGAUCGGACGAUGUUAAUUUUUUAAUGACUCAUUCGGCGCCUUACG